AGUGAUUCUCCUGCCUCAGCCUCCUGAGUAGGUGGGAUUACAGGCAUUUCCCUGGAAGUGGCAGCAGUGACAGGAAAGGAAGAAUCAAGAUCCCGAUUAUGAUUUAUACCACAUUCAAGGUUUGGUUAUCCAAGGAGCAGUGCCCAGCUCCUUCCCAGCGGGAUAUGGAAUGCUGGUGAUUUCCAGGAAGUGACCUCACAGUGACUCAAGCUACCACGUGUUGAUUGUGAUGAAAUGCCAGCUGAGGCACAUUCCCUGGGAGCUAAAGGGUGCUACACUUGACCACUGCAGCAGUAAAGAUGCCUCCGAAGAAUGGCAUGGGAUGGAUCCUUUCAAGUGAACUUGAGCAGGGGUCUCCAACCACAGGGCCACAGAGCUGGAGGUGAGCAGCAGCUGGAUCAACUACGAAAUACUUCAGAGCCCAGGAAGAGAGACUGACUGGACAGCAUGUUAUUCAGGACUGACGAUCCAUCAUCUGUGAAGACCACGUUUUGCUUAUCCAUUUGUCAGUGGACACUUGGAUUGCUUCCAUAUUUUGGAUAUUGGGAGUAAUACAGCUAUCAAUGCGGGUGUACAAAUAAUCUCUUGAAGACCGUGUUUUCAGUUCUUUUGAGUAUAUACUGAGAAGUGCAAUUGCUGGAUCACAUGUUUCCCUGGAUGCUGAACAUGGAGCCUUACAGUUUCUAGAAUGGUUUGGCAGAAUAUCUCUUUGGAAAUUGGUGAAGAUAGGGGUUGUGGAAAAGGAAAGUGGUAUAAAGUAAAUGACACAGUGACAGAAGAAUUCGACCUAAAUAAUGAGAUUCCGGAGUGCGAAUGCUUUGGUGAAGAAUAUAGACCAAAAUUUUAUGAUCAAGGGAGGUCUGAUGAGAACGCCGGGGGUCACCAAAGAAGACUCAAGUUAGCUGUGUACAGCAGGAAGCCGAGGACUUCUCACUGUAAGUUGCUUUUCAAUUGUGAAUACAGAAUAUCGGAGACAGGUCUCAAUGAAUUUGGAAAGUUUAGUUUGCCAGGGUUAUGGACGUGACACAGCCUAUGGAGGUCCUGAGGACAUGUGCCCAAGAUGGUUGGGGUACAGCUUGCUUUAAUACAUUGUUGGAAGUUGUGAGACAUCCAUCAAUAUGUGUAAGAUGUACAUUGGUUUUGUCCAGAAAGGUGGGACAACAACUCGAAGCAUGGGCGGAGGCUUCCGGGUCAUAAGUAGACAAGACAAAUGGUUGCAUUCUUUCGAGUCUCUGAUUAGCCUUUUUCUGAUUACACAAUUUACAUGUAAGAGGAGGGUAAAAGAAUCUUCACUUAUGCCUUAGUCUAGCUUAGUGAAACGAUACAGCAGAAGAAGCAAUGAGAUGUGCGUUUGUGUCAGGUGAGCAGAGAGAUGGCAUUGUGCUCUGUUCAUCCUUUGCCCACAAGAAAAUUACCUCAGGGCAAAUAGUGAGGGAGUUACGGAGCUUCCUUAUCUUUGUAGCAUCUUAUUUAGUAAUACAUUGGGAGCAAGUUUGCUGGAUGCAGUUCCCAGCUGUCUUCCUUUUGGAUUAGUGAAGAUUUAUUUUAUUGCAUACCAAAAACUUGCUGUGUGAUUUAGUAGGUGUUAGUGUGGUAUUUGAGAAUGUAGUAUUUGGGAUUUGAAGAUAAUUAGCUAAACUAGAGAGAAAUUCCUAAACUAAUUCUAAAAGGAAAAUAAAUAAAUCCCUUUUCUUUA